CUUCUUGAUUUAAUUCUGGAAGAGUGACUUCUUUAACUGGAGAUUUAAAUCUUUCCAAUGUUUUAUUAAGACUAAAAAUUGGUUUUUCUUUAGCUUUAAUGAAUUUGUCAUUAUCCUUAUUGUCUUUGGUUAAUAAAUAUUUUAACUGUUUAGUGUACUGAGCCUUUAGCUUAGGAUUAGUGAUUUUACUAAUUAGGUCAAUUAACAAAGAACUUUCAUCAUCAUCUUUGUUAAUCACAUUAACUCUUUUAUUGCAACAAUGUUCAUUGCAAUUGUCAGCACAAAUAGUGACUUCUUCAGCGUUACUGCUAGAUUCUUCAUUACUGUUAUUAUUAGAGGAAUAAGAGAUAUUAGAACCUUCAUCAUUACUGACAUCGUUCUC
rnacentral:lncRNA from 1 species